rnacentral:rRNA from 1 species
AUUCCAGCUCCAAUAGCGUAUAUUAAAGUUGUUGCGGUUAAAAAGCUCGUAGUUGGAUUUCUGUUGAGGACGGCCGGUCCGCACUAUGUGCGUGUAUCUGGUUCGGCCUUGGCAUCCUCUUGAGGAACGUAUCUGCGCUUGAUUGCGUGGAGCGGUAUUCAAGACUUUUACUUUGAGGAAAUUAGAGUGUUCACGGCAGGCAAGCGCCUUGAAUACGUUAGCAUGGAAUGAUAAUAUAGGAUCUUGGUUCUAUUUUGUUGGUUUCUAGAGCUAAGGUAAUGAUUAAUAGGGAUAGUUGGGGGCAUUAGUACUUUGCUGUCAGAGGUGAAAUUCUCGGAUUUGCAAAAGACUAACUUAUGCGAAAGCAUUUGCCAAGGAUGUUUUCAUUA